GACGAACGCUGGCGGCGUGCCUAAUACAUGCAAGUCGAGCGGAGUGGGGACGGGUGAGUAACACGUGGGUAACCUCCCAUCAGAGGGGAUAACACUUGGAAACAGGUGCUAAACCGAUCCUGAUGGAUGGACCCGCGGUGCAUUAGCUAGUUGGUGGGGUACCGGCUCACCAAGGCCACGAUGCAUAGCCGACCUGAGGGGGUGAUCGGCCACACUGGGACUGAGACACGGCCCAGACUCCGACGGGAGGCAGCAGUAGGGAAUCUUCGGCAAUGGACGAAAGUCUGACCGAGCAACGCCGCGUGAGUGAAGAAGGUUUUCGGAUCGUAAAACUCUGUUGUUAGAGAAGCGGUAUCUAACCAGAAAGCCACGGCUAACUACGUGCCAGCAGCCGCGGUAAUUC
rnacentral:rRNA from 1 species